rnacentral:snRNA from 1 species
UUGAUGUGUACAUUCAUAUUU